GUCCCUUUCCUCCGUAAGUACAUGGUUCACUUGUCACAUCUAUCUAUCUAUAUAUUAAUGAAGAAUCUAAGAUAAAGUUCGUGUUUUAUGUAGUUUCGUGCUAUUUGACGAUAUUCAAGGUUUCAAUAACUUACCACAAGUAAAGAGUGUCUUUGCGAGGGUAGUUGUUAAGUUUCCUAGGCAUCGUAAUAGUCAACACUUCAUCCUACAGGACAUCACUGGAGCCAAAAUCGAAGCAAUUUCAAACGGCAAUAAUGUCGAACGGUUCGACGUCUUACUCAAACAAGGAUACACAUAUACAUUGUAUAAAGUGGCAUUCUGUCUAAACUGGGCGGAGGUUCAAUUUCGGAAUAUUGCGCAUGGGCUAGAGUUGGGAUUGAUAACACAUACUAUUGUGGAGCCAUUCACUAAACCAAUUCAAUUUCCUCCAUUUCCAAAAUAUCUUAUGCCAUUUCAUGAUGUUUACCAACAACCGCAUAAGACGUUCGUAGACAUUAUUGGCAUAGUUGUUCAUUUGGAGCCAUUAAAGUAUAUCGGUGGAAGGCCAUACAGAGAGGCUGUACUAAUGGAUUCCAGGUGGAAUCUAAUUGUCAUGGGGGUAUGGACCGAUCUCCUGCAGAGAAAUGCUCUACGAUGGGCAUUAGCUAAAGUUGACAAGAAUAUAAUUAUUGCAACAAUGAUGCGUCGUAACAAUAAAUAUAUACCUAGCAUCUUUCAACAUAUAUUCAAUUUUCAUGUUUAUUAUUAAUUCUAUACUAUAAAUAACAAUAGGAUGUUUGGAAACUUCAGACUAUAGCACCAUUCAUUUUAACCCAGAUCAUCACACUACAAGCCGGCUGCAGAUCAUUCGACACUCGUUGAUUCAAAAUCCAAGGAGUCGUGCCAUCAACAAUUUUCUGGAGAACAGACAAGCACAAUUGACAACUAUGAUACCAGAUUGAGACGUGUUUUAGCUUAUUAUAGUAGAUAUACUUUAUUAAUUAUAUGUAGUAGAACACUUAGUAACAAUGAUUUGGUCUCUAUUUGUAUUGGUCAUGUGUCCAGUCUUAAUGGUGAUAGCUUUGUACAAAACUAUGUGACUUAUCUGUGAGCGAAUAAAGAUGUUCAUCACCGUGUUUUUGUUACCAA